rfam:Trichomonas vaginalis G3, whole genome shotgun sequence.
GACGGCCUGGCCGAGUGGUUAAAGCGCUGGACUACUAAUCCUGUGGAUUUAUCCUCGUGAGUUCAAAUCCCACGGUCGUCU